rnacentral:rRNA from 1 species
UACCUGCAGCUCAAGUGGUGACCGCUAUUAUUGGGCCUAAAACGUCCGUAGCCGGCUGAGUAAAUGCUUGGGUAAAUCGUGUAGCUUAACUAUACGAAUUCCGGGCAGACUGCUUAGCUUGAGAUCGGGAGAAGCUAGAGGUACUCCUGGGGUAGAGGUGAAAUUCUGUAAUCCUGGGGGGACCACCAGUGGCGAAGGCGUCUAGCUAGAACGGGUCUGACGGUGAGGGACGAAACCCUGGGGCGCAAACCGGAUUAGAUACCCGGGUAGUCCAGGGCGCAAACGCUGCUUGCUUGAUGUUAGUCGGGCUCCGAGCUCGACUAGUGUCGGAGAGAAGUUGUUAAGCAAGCUGCCUGGGAGUACGAUCGCAAGAUUGAAACUUAAAGGAAUUGGCGGGGGAGCACAGCAACGGGUGGAGCGUGCGGUUU